UAACCCCAAUUGCUUCAGCAAUAAACAAACAAACAAACAAAUAAAUAAAUAAAAUUAAAUUAAUGGCUGGAUGGAUAGAUAGAUGAAUGAAUGAAUGAAUGGAUCGAUCAAUAAAUAAAAUACUUGUGGAUUGAUUGAUACGCUGGGCACAGAGUUAAAUCAUACAAGUAAGUGUAAGGCUUGGUCCCCGUUCCCACGAAGCUUGUGGUCUGGUUACAAGCAACAAGGCAUAGACAUAUUUAAUGCUAAGUAACAGUUGAAGGUGAGCAGUUGAAGAGCUGUCCCAAGACAAGGAAGGAUGACUGGCCAGCUGGGGGUACCCUGGCCUCACAGGAGCAGUUCAAAGGAAGGGGGAUCACUAGGCUGGAUGGGGGAGUGAUGCCACAGAUCACUAAGAGCCCAUUGUAGAAAUGGAGAUAAAGUGAGAAGACAGGGUGAGAGAAAACCCAAAACCCCAUGUCCAAAAUGUAACCGAGGCUUUCACUGGGCCUUGGAAUGUAUAUUGACCCAGAGGAGGGAGAGGCGGGGCCCAGCUCCAAAGUUUCAAUCAAAGGACAGGUGGGGCAUGAUAGCAGCUGGGGUUACACCCAGACAGACUUUAGAAAUUCAGGACUCUGAUGUCAUCAACCAACAGAAAAGCAAUCAGGAUUACAGUUGGGGAGAAUAUAGGCCUUUUAAGACAACAAGGCAGUAUCCAGUGCAAACAGCUCCAAUAUAAUUAUCAGAUGAUGAGGAGAAAUCCCCAAAGUGGUAAAUAGAAGGGAAUUAGAUAGGUUAACUGCUUGGGGAAGAGGAUCUGCUUAUAUUUCCACAGGUGGAGAAGGAAUCAGAUGGCUGACAAUGAGACUGUCAAAAGAACUUUAAAAUCUUCAGCUUUCAGUUCCUGAAAAACCAGCAACAAUCAUUGGAUUCCCUGAGAUGAAAAAUUGUUGAUGAGACAUUUGCAGUACUUCAGAGCUUACAGGAACUAUUGGAUUCCUGGCACAUGAACUAAUGGACAAAAUGGGCGAGCACUUCAGCCUUCCAGAGAAGCCUUCUUUCUCCCCUAGUCCAGACCGGACCCGAUCCUGAGAGAACCCACUAACGAGGCCGCAUCGUCUCCUGGGCCCCCAGGCCAGCUUUCCCGGCUCCGGCUUGUUUUCAGACGAGUAACCCGAGGCUCCGAGGGCCCGCCGAGGCCCCUUUCCGCACCCCCUGGCUCCUGGACAUCGAGCUGCUCCGACGCCUUUGGGAGCCGCCGCGGGUGAGGGCCGGGGAGCCCGCGCCAUUUUGCAGAAAUAAACAGUGAUUAUUUCCGAACGAACAUAAGCCCCCGCGGCCCGGGUCCUGAGGGAAAGGACGAGAAGCACUUGGAAGGGAGCAGCGCGCAGAGGGAGGGGACUCGGCCUGGGUCCCGACGAGAGCGGCCGCGUGCCCCGCCGGCGCCAGGACUGAGCCGGCUUCUCUUGAAGAAAGGCGAGGACAGCCGGACGCGGGGAAACGCUGAAAGGGAUGCUCCGCUCUCUGCGCACUGAGAGGCGGGGAAGGGCGCCCUCUGCUGGACGACCUGCACAGCGCCCGCGCCCGGCACGCCGCCGUCCUUGGGCAGCCUGGGCGGGGAUAGGCUGAUCGCCGCGGACAGCUCCCGCCCUUUCUCACAAACGGUUCCUGGCAGGUGCUCCCCCGCGCACGCGCCGAAAGGGCCUAGCUAGCGGUAGCAUCUUCGUCAAAGGAGCCAGCCUCUGCUCUUACCGCGGAGUCGUAAGCAGUGCGACGUGGGCCCUGGAAAGAGGUCUUGGAUCACUCCCACAGUGCAGAUCGCCACCCCUCCUGUGACGGUGUUGAUCCUCCCAUUAAUCUGCCCGUGUCUUCCCAGCAUCAGGGGGUCUCAAGGGUCUGCAGGCUCCGGCAGUUACCCAUAGGGAGUGUUCUCCCUCAAUCCAGUGAAUGAAUGAAAACAGAUUUUUCAAUGUGUUAACAUAUUAAACGCUUUGCAAACCUUAAA